UGCCAGCUUGCUGGUGGAUUAGUGGCGAACGGGUGAGUAACACGUGAGUAACCUGCCCUUAACUCUGGGAUAAGCCUGGGAAACUGGGUCUAAUACCGGAUAUGACCUUCCAUCGCAUGGUGGUUGGUGGAAAGCUUUUUGUGGUUUUGGAUGGACUCGCGGCCUAUCAGCUUGUUGGUGAGGUAAUGGCUUACCAAGGCGACGACGGGUAGCCGGCCUGAGAGGGUGACCGGCCACACUGGGACUGAGACACGGCCCAGACUCCUACGGGAGGCAGCAGUGGGGAAUAUUGCACAAUGGGCGCAAGCCUGAUGCAGCGACGCCGCGUGAGGGAUGACGGCCUUCGGGUUGUAAACCUCUUUCAGUAGGGAAGAAGCGAAAGUGACGGUACCUGCAGAAGAAGCGCCGGCUAACUACGUGCCAGCAGCCGCGGUAAUACGUAGGGCGCAAGCGUUAUCCGGAAUUAUUGGGCGUAAAGAGCUCGUAGGCGGUUUGUCGCGUCUGCCGUGAAAGUCCGGGGCUCAACUCCGGAUCUGCGGUGGGUACGGGCAGACUAGAGUGAUGUAGGGGAGACUGGAAUUCCUGGUGUAGCGGUGAAAUGCGCAGAUAUCAGGAGGAACACCGAUGGCGAAGGCAGGUCUCUGGGCAUUAACUGACGCUGAGGAGCGAAAGCAUGGGGAGCGA
rnacentral:rRNA from 1 species